UUAUUUGAAACAGGAUACAACCUCGCACACCGGGUAAGCAAAGGACAACAAAACCAAGUGGGCCUAAAAGCAGCCAUCUUUAAGAAAGCGUUACAGCUCCACCACACCCAACCCAAAAAUCAUUUCAACACCGACUAACCCUUAACCCCUACUGAACCAUUUUAUAUUAUUAUAAAAACUAUUAUGCUAGGACUAGUAACAAGAAUUUGCUUUUCUCCUUAAUAUAAACAUAAGCCAAAACGGACCAUCCAUUGGCAAUUAACGUUAAUGAGCUUACUAUAAUAACAACCAUACUAGAAAACCCUAUAUUUCUCUAACGUUUACCUCACACCAGAAUAUUAAAGGAAAGAUUCAAAGAAAGAGAAGGAACUCGGCAAACUUCAACCCCGCCUGUUUACCAAAAACAUCGCCUCUUGACAAACAUAAGAGGUCCAGCCUGCCCAGUGACAAUGUUCAACGGCCGCGGUACCCUAACCGUGCGAAGGUAGCAUAAUCACUUGUUCUUUAAAUGAGGACUUGUAUCAAUGGCAUCACGAGGGUUGUACUGUCUCCUCUUUCCAAUCAGUGAAACUGAUCUCCCCGUGAAAAAGCUGGGAUUUUAAU
rnacentral:rRNA from 1 species